GUGAGGAAUAUUGGUCAAUGGACGAGAGUCUGAACCAGCCAAGUCGCGUGAAGGAAGACGGUUCUAUGAAUUGUAAACUUCUUUUGUGCAGGAAUAAAGUGGGUUACGUGUAACCUUUUGUAUGUACUGUACGAAUAAGGAUCGGCUAACUCCGUGCCAGCAGCCGCGGUAAUACGGAGGAUCCGAGCGUUAUCCGGAUUUAUUGGGUUUAAAGGGUGCGUAGGUGGAUUGAUAAGUCAGCGGUGAAAGUUUGCAGCUUAACUGUAAAAUUGCCGUUGAAACUGUCGGUCUUGAGUGCAAAUGAGGUAGGCGGAAUGUGUUGUGUAGCAGUGAAAUGCUUAGAUAUAACACAGAACUCCGAUUGCGAAGGCAGCUUACUGGGAUGCAACUGACACUGAUGCACGAAAGCGUGGGUAUCAAACAGGAUUAGAAACCCCUGUAGUCC
rnacentral:rRNA from 1 species